ACUCUAAGCGGUGGAUCACUCGGCUCAUGGGUCGAUGAAGAACGCAGCAAACUGUGCGUCAUCGUGUGAACUGCAGGACACAUGAACAUCGACAUUUUGAACGCAUAUCGCAGUCCAUGCUGUUAUGUACUUUAAUUAAUUUUAUAGUGCUGCUUGGACUACAUAUGGUUGAGGGUUGUAAGACUAUGCUAAUUAAGUUGCUUAUAAAUUUUUAUAAGCAUAUGGUAUAUUAUUGGAUAAAUAUAAUAAUUUUUAUUCAUAAUAUUAAAAAAUAAAUGAAAAACAUUAUCUCACAUUUGAAUGUGAAAAACGAAGAGAAAUAUUUUCUUUUUCAAUCAAAUAAUACUGAGAAAUGUCUAGCAUAAAAAAUUGAAAUAUUUUUCAUCUAGAAUUGUCUCUUAUUAAUGAUUCGGAAAUAGAAAAAUCUUGGUUAUGUUAUUAUUCUUCGUUGGUUCGUUAAAAAUGGAUAAAUAAAAACUUUGCAUACAAGAAUUAAUAAAAAUGUUAUAACGAAUUUAAUUAAAUGUUUUAUCAUUAUAUAUAAAGAAUUUAUGGCAAGAUAAAGUUAUAUACAACCUCAACUCAUAUGGGACUACCCCCUGAAUUUAAGCAUAUUAAUUAGGGGAGGAAAAGAAACUAACAAGGAUUUUCUUAGUAGCGGCGAGCGAAAAGAAAACAGUUCAGCACUAAGUCACUUUGUCUAUAUGGCAAAUGUGAGAUGCAGUGUAUGGAGCGUCAAUAUUCUAGUAUGAGAAAUUAACGAUUUAAGUCCUUCUUAAAUGAGGCCAUUUACCCAUAGAGGGUGCCAGGCCCGUAUAACGUUAAUGAUUACUAGAUGAUGUUUCCAAAGAGUCGUGUUGCUUGAUAGUGCAGCACUAAGUGGGUGGUAAACUCCAUCUAAAACUAAAUAUAACCAUGAGACCGAUAGUAAACAAGUACCGUGAGGGAAAGUUGAAAAGAACUCUGAAUAGAGAGUUAAACAGUACGUGAAACUGCUUAGAGGUUAAGCCCGAUGAACCUGAAUAUCCGUUAUGGAAAAUUCAUCAUUAAAAUUGUAAUAUUUAAAUAAUAUUAUGAGAAUAGUGUGCAUUUUUUCCAUAUAAGGACAUUGUAAUCUAUUAGCAUAUACCAAAUUUAUCAUAAAAUAUAACUUAUAGUUUAUUCCAAUUAAAUUGCUUGCAUUUUAACACAGAAUAAAUGUUAUUAAUUUGAUAAAGUGCUGAUAGAUUUAUAUGAUUACAGUGCGUUAAUUUUUCGGAAUUAUAUAAUGGCAUAAUUAUCAUUGAUUUUUGUGUUUAUUAUAUGCACUUGUAUGAUUAACAAUGCGAAAGAUUCAGGAUACCUUCGGGACCCGUCUUGAAACACGGACCAAGGAGUCUAACAUAUGUGCAAGUUAUUGGGAUAUAAACCUAAUAGCGUAAUUAACUUGACUAAUAAUGGGAUUAGUUUUUUAGCUAUUUAUAGCUAAUUAACACAAUCCCGGGGCGUUCUAUAUAGUUAUGUAUAAUGUAUAUUUAUAUUAUUUAUGCCUCUAACUGGAACGUACCUUGAGCAUAUAUGCUGUGACCCGAAAGAUGGUGAACUAUACUUGAUCAGGUUGAAGUCAGGGGAAACCCUGAUGGAAGACCGAAACAGUUCUGACGUGCAAAUCGAUUGUCAGAAUUGAGUAUAGGGGCGAAAGACCAAUCGAACCAUCUAGUAGCUGGUUCCUUCCGAAGUUUCCCUCAGGAUAGCUGGUGCAUUUUAAUAUUAUAUAAAAUAAUCUUAUCUGGUAAAGCGAAUGAUUAGAGGCCUUAGGGUCGAAACGAUCUUAACCUAUUCUCAAACUUUAAAUGGGUAAGAACCUUAACUUUCUUGAUAUGAAGUUCAAGGUUAUGAUAUAAUGUGCCCAGUGGGCCACUUUUGGUAAGCAGAACUGGCGCUGUGGGAUGAACCAAACGUAAUGUUACGGUGCCCAAAUUAACAACUCAUGCAGAUACCAUGAAAGGCGUUGGUUGCUUAAAACAGCAGGACGGUGAUCAUGGAAGUCGAAAUCCGCUAAGGAGUGUGUAACAACUCACCUGCCGAAGCAACUAGCCCUUAAAAUGGAUGGCGCUUAAGUUGUAUACCUAUACAUUACCGCUAAAGUAGAUGAUUUAUAUUACUUGUGAUAUAAAUUUUGAAACUUUAGUGAGUAGGAAGGUACAAUGGUAUGCGUAGAAGUGUUUGGCGUAAGCCUGCAUGGAGCUGCCAUUGGUACAGAUCUUGGUGGUAGUAGCAAAUAAUCGAAUGAGACCUUGGAGGACUGAAGUGGAGAAGGGUUUCGUGUGAACAGUGGUUGAUCACGAGUUAGUCGGUCCUAAGUUCAAGGCGAAAGCCGAAAAUUUUCAAGUAAAACAAAAAUGCCUAACUAUAUAAACAAAGCGAAUUAUAAUACACUUGAAUAAUUUUGAACGAAAGGGAAUACGGUUCCAAUUCCGUAACCUGUUGAGUAUCCGUUUGUUAUUAAAUAUGGGCCUCGUGCUCAUCCUGGCAACAGGAACGACCAUAAAGAAGCCGUCGAGAGAUAUCGGAAGAGUUUUCUUUUCUGUUUUAUAGCCGUACUACCAUGGAAGUCUUUCGCAGAGAGAUAUGGUAGAUGGGCUAGAAGAGCAUGACAUAUACUGUUGUGUCGAUAUUUUCUCCUCGGACCUUGAAAAUUUAUGGUGGGGACACGCAAACUUCUCAACAGGCCGUACCAAUAUCCGCAGCUGGUCUCCAAGGUGAAGAGUCUCUAGUCGAUAGAAUAAUGUAGGUAAGGGAAGUCGGCAAAUUAGAUCCGUAACUUCGGGAUAAGGAUUGGCUCUGAAGAUUGAGAUAGUCGGGCUUGAUUGGGAAACAAUAACAUGGUUUAUGUGCUCGUUCUGGGUAAAUAGAGUUUCUAGCAUUUAUGUUAGUUACUUGUUCCCCGGAUAGUUUAGUUACGUAGCCAAUUGUGGAACUUUCUUGCUAAAAUUUUUAAGAAUACUAUUUGGGUUAAACCAAUUAGUUCUUAUUAAUUAUAACGAUUAUCAAUUAACAAUCAAUCAGAACUGGCACGGACUUGGGGAAUCCGACUGUCUAAUUAAAACAAAGCAUUGUGAUGGCCCUAGCGGGUGUUGACACAAUGUGAUUUCUGCCCAGUGCUCUGAAUGU
rnacentral:rRNA from 1 species